GACGGCGCAGUUCUGCUAAUAUCUAACAUGCAUCUUGCCUUUUACCAGACGCAUCCAUGGUAGACUGCACAAUGCCGCAUUCUUAAUCUUUGGAACCCUCUUCAAGAUUGGAGAUU
rfam:Hortaea werneckii EXF-2000 unitig_222, whole genome shotgun sequence.